rnacentral:lncRNA from 1 species
CCAACUUGUGGAUACUCAAACUUAGCAAUGCGGUGAGCCCGAGUUACUCGAUAUGAGUCCAAGUUGGCUCGUCGGAGUUUAUAGAUACCUGAUUUGGAUGGAAAUCGGUUAGAAUGGUUUUGAAAAUUUUAAUGGGUCGGCCUUGUACCUUAAAAAAAAAAAAACUUUAUAUAUUUUCUCCCUUCUCUUUAAGCGUGUGAUGGUCUUCCAAGCCCCCAUAAAUCUUUAUUUUAAUUUUUAUUUUUUUAAAAUUCCUGAUUCGAACAGAUCUAAACCGUCUAAAUCACGUAUUCAACAAUCCAAUAUAGAUCUGUGGAUGCCACAAAUGGAGAGUUUUAAAACACCGAACAAGAGAGAAAAAGCAAUGGAAAAGGGCAUUGAAACAUACUCGGAAGCUGGGACACUACAUAGGCAGCACCAUGAAAAUCACAGGUGCCGGUGGUGCGGGCGUUCUUCUGGUAAUAACUAUUGAAGGCGAAGGAUGCAUGCGCUUUGAGCGUGUCGGGGUCGUAGCAGGAAGCCCCCGGCUGGAUCUCCUUGCAGUCAGCACCACCCUCCCCACAGGCAUAAUCAAGGGCCGCCUGCAACUGAUCCUCGCUCGCCUCCUCGCUAGCAACGCACCAGCUCUGCCCCCCAGC